rnacentral:rRNA from 1 species
AAUGGCUCAUUAAAUCAGUUAUCGUUUAUUUGAUAGUACCUUACUACUUGGAUAACCGUGGUAAUUCUAGAGCUAAUACAUGCUAAAAACCUCGACUUCGGAAGGGGUGUAUUUAUUAGAUAAAAAACCAAUGCCUUCGGGCUCCUUGGUGAUUCAUAAUAACUAAACGAAUCGCAUGGCCUUGCGCCGGCGAUGGUUCAUUCAAAUUUCUGCCCUAUCAACUUUCGAUGGUAGGAUAGUGGCCUACCAUGGUAUCAACGGGUAACGGGGAAUUAGGGUUCUAUUCCGGAGAGGGAGCCUGAGAAACGGCUACCACAUCCAAGGAAGGCAGCAGGCGCGCAAAUUACCCAAUCCCGACACGGGGAGGUAGUGACAAUAAAUACUGAUACAGGGCUCUUUUGGGUCUUGUAAUUGGAAUGAGUACAAUUUAAAUCCCUUAACG